GCUUCAGAAAUUCAGUGACGUCAGGCGCCACGUACCUGAUAUGUGAGAGGCGAGAAGCCAGGCUACCCAGUACUCCUCAAGCCGACAAAAAGUGACUGUACCCUUCUCUAUAGCUGUUCCACGCCUUUGGGUAGUGUAUUAUAAGGUCUUACUGGAGGUACUGAGAGCCACGUCGCUGCUCUGACAAUCCAGGUUAGCCUGUAUUUCUUAAGUCAGCUGCAGGACACUAUCCCCUACUCUGCAUGCUGGUCAUUUUCGCGUCCUGGUGAAGCUUAUGACGGCUCUGGUAAUAAGAUUGCUUGCUAUAGUGGACUAGGCGUGUUUCAUCAGGUCACUAUGCAUCUACAGUGGUGGCGACCCAUCCCUGGUGCUGUUUACUCAUGCUGUGUUCACGAGGUGUACUACUGUUACUGGUUCUACUCAACCAGUGGUGCACUCCAUAAAACGUCAGUAGUGUGUGUAUAUCCUUAAUGUGUGUUCCCAGUGUGUAAGCCUCCGUGGACUUGUAGUGUUGCAAGUAACGAGCUUCCUAGUGUUCUAAGUCUCAGACUCCCUACCUCAGUGAAUUUUGCCUUUUUUUUUUUUAUUUUAUUUUUUUUUUGCUGAAAAUUCUCCAACCUGUUCUCCGGAGAGUCUUUAAGGUAUAAUAAGGUAUAAUAAUAAAAGCAUAAUUCUCCAUUUA